UUGUCUACAUGUAUUUCUCUCUGUUAGUUGUUCUUAACCACUGAGACAUCUCAUCAGCCCCACCUAGGAUGGGCUUUUACCUCUGUUAUUAAAGCCAAAGCCCCACACCCAUCCUCCAGCAUGCUCUUGGCAGCUAAACAAAGCUGCAGCCACACCUGCCAACAUUUGUGCAGGGUAAAUACACUGCUGUUUUCUCUGUACGAGAUACUCUUCCCUUGUUCAUGACACGCUUCUCAGAACAAUGAGGUUACCAGCCUGAAAAUGGCAGUCGUAUAUAAAUCCUCUUAUCCCAUGGACAGAUUCUGUGAAGAUCAGCAGCUAUGUCUCCAAACACAGGUGAGUGUAUGAAGCUAACCAUGAGAGGCCAAUUCUGAUACUCAGAACACUGCUGGAAGGCCAGUAUUGCAUAAAAUUCUAUUUACCAUUGUAUAACAUGGACGGACCCAUGGCUCUGAGUCUGUCAAUCAUCUAACAAGUGAGACGAGCUUUACUCCAAUCUGGCUGAUGCUCUCUGGCCGUUAUCAGACCCAUCUAAGUUUAUUAUUAGGGCAAACCACAUUGAUCUAUAGACCAUUGGAUGAAAGAAGUAUGUAGAGGAGAUGCCAUCCUACAGCUGGUAGAUCUUAGGCCUUCUGGUAAUGAUUACACCAACUUAACUGACGUAUGGUAACAAAA
rnacentral:lncRNA from 1 species